CGUUGAGAAGUUCGUUGUGCAAAUCAAUGCAUCUUGAAAUUUAACCUUAUUAAUAAUAUAAUGUGAAGUAAAAUUCGAGAAGUAAUAAAAUUAUUUUGGAAUAAUAUAUUUUUAGUAAAAUGAAUUGAAAAAAAGGUAAAAAGGAAUAAUAGAGCAGAGUACUGUAAAGGAAAGGUGAAAUAAAUUGAAAAAGAAAUUAAUUAAAAGUAAAAAUAAAAGUUUGUACCUUGUGUAUUAGGGAAGAUCAAAAUUAGUUUAUAAUAUGAAAAGUCCCGAAAAAAGAAGAGCUAAUAUAAUCUGGUAGUUUUCGUUUUAAUGAAAUUAUAAAGCUUAUAUUAGUAGUGAAACGCUAGACGAUUCUUUAUAUCUGGUUACCAGUGAAUUAAAUUAAAUUUAGUUGCUUUAAAUUGGUGCAGAAAACUAAAAAGCAAUAAAGAGCAGGAGGGAAAAGCUUCUUGUUCUAACAUAAAGGUAUUAUAAUAUUUCUUAUAAAACAGCAUUGGAUUAGGCUUGAAAACAGCCACAUU
rnacentral:rRNA from 1 species